rnacentral:rRNA from 1 species
UGAUCAUGGCUCAGAUUGAACGCUGGCGGCAGGCCUAACACAUGCAAGUCGAGCGGUAGCGGGAAGAGCUUGCUCUUUGCCGACGAGCGGCGGACGGGUGCGUAACACGUAGGAAUCUGCCCGGUAGUGGGGGAUAGCCCGGAGAAAUCCGGAUUAAUACCGCAUACGCCCUAAGGGGGAAAGCAGGGGAUCUUCGGACCUUGCGCUAUCGGAUGAGCCUGCGUCGGAUUAGCUGGUUGGUGGGGUAAAGGCCUACCAAGGCAACGAUCCGUAGCUGGUCUGAGAGGAUGAUCAGCCACACUGGGACUGAGACACGGCCCAGACUCCUACGGGAGGCAGCAGGAA